UUUUGUCGAGCCUGCGACUUUUGUCGCAGAAAGCUCGACAUAGGGAUAGUGAUCCGGCGGCAGCGUUAGCUAACUUCUUAAAAGCUUUAUAUUUUAGAAGGUGGAAGACCUGGAUGCUUAUACUUUGUAUAUGGAUGCCUCAUGUUAUGAAGUUUCCGUCAGUCACAUGUCCAAUGUCCUUGACCUCAUUUUCAUGGUUCAGUGACUACUUGAAAAAAAAGUUAAGAUUUUUUGUAAUGUUAAAUUCUCUCUUAUUAUAAGUAAUAGGAUAACUAUAUUUGGUACGUGCGUACCUUGCAAGGUCCUCAUGCCCGUCAGACAGUUUUCACUUGACCUCGACCUCAUUUCAUGGAUCAGUGAACAAGGUUAAGUUUUCGUGGUCAAGUCCAUAUCUCAGAUACUAUAAGCAAUAGGUCUAGUAUAUUCGGUGUAUGGAAGGACUGUAAGGUGUACAUGUCCAACUGGCAGGUGUCAUCUGACCUUGACCUCAUUUUCAUGGUUCAGUGGUUAUAGUUAAGUUUUUGUGUUUUGGUCUGUUUUUCUUAUACUGUAUGCAAUAGGUCUUCUAUAUUUGGUGUAUGGAAUGAUUGUAAGGUGUACAUGUCUAGCUGGCAGGUGUCAUCUGACCUUGACCUCAUUUUCAUGGUUCAGUGGUUAUAGUUAAGUUUUUAUGUUUUGGUCUGUUUUUCUUAUACUGUAUGCAAUAGGUCUUCUAUAUUUGGUGUAUGGAAUGAUUGUAAGGUGUACAUGUCUAGCUGGCAGGUGUCAUCUGACCUUGACCUCAUUUUCAUGGUUCAGUGGUCAAAGUUAAGUUUUUGAGUUUUUGUCUUUUUUUCUAAUACUAUAUGCAAUAGUUCAACUAUAUUUGGUGUAUGGAAUGAUUGUAAGGUGUACAUGUCUAGCUGGCAGGUGUCAUCUGACCUUGACCUCAUUUUCAUGGUUCAGUGGUCAAAGUUAAGUUUUUGAGUUUUUGUCUUUUUUUCUAAUACUAUAUGCAAUAGUUCAACUAUAUUUGGUGUAUGGAAAUAUUUUAUGAUCUAUAUGUCAGUCACGCAGGUUUUAUUUGACCUUGACCUCAUUUUCAAGGUUCAUUGCUCAGUGUUAAGUUUUUGUGUUUUUGUCUGUUUUUCUUAAACUAUAAGCAAUAGGUCAACUAUAUUUGUUGUAUGGAAGAAUUGUUAGCUGUACAUGCCUGCCUAGCAUGGUUCAACUGACCUUGACCUUAUUUUCAUGGUUCAUUGGUCAAUGUUUAGUUUACUUGGUUAAUGUUAAGUUUAUGUGACAGUUGUAAUAAAGCUUUAUAUUUAGGACUAUCAACAUAAUAUCAAUGAUUAGUAAAGAAGGCGAGACAUUUCAGCGUGUGCACUCUUGUUAAUAAAAUUUGUUAUGCAUAUUAAUCUAUUUUGGGAAGUUAUCCAUACUUACUGUGUUUUUGUAUGACAUGGAAUGAUAAAUUAACUAUUCCUUGAAAAUAAAUCACUGUUGAUGUCAGGAAUAUUCACUUUUCAGAUCUGUUUAUUUAUUGGGGAAAAAUGAAUUUCACCACAGAUUUUUACAUUAUAAAAAUCCUAUAAAUGCUAUAUUUUUAGGUAUGAAUUAAAAGUUAACGUGAGGUGCGUAUCAAUGUGACAACAAACCUUAAACACAAUAAAAUUAGAACAGACAUAUGGAGGGCAACAUACAGUCUUAAACAAUAGACAAGUAAAUACCAUAAAUACACUCAAAAUUGUUCCAUGUCUAGAAAAAAUAUUUAAACAUAAAAAUAAGAUGUGGCAUGAUUGCCAAAUGAGACAAGGACUUUUGUAAUCACAGUGAAAACAAUAACAAUACCGGUAAAUGGGUGACUUAUCGAGGAUUAAACAAAUUUAUCUUCAAGAGGGGAUUACCACAAUAUGCAUCUGAAAAAUGUUACACUCUUACUUAUAGUUUAUCCUCUUCAUAAGCAAUACAUAUACCAGUAGAUGAAAAUGAAAAAUGAAAAUUCUUCCAUUUCUAAAAUUGUUCAUAUUAUAGUAUUUUAAAUAGCUACUAACAAAAUGUAAAAAAUGAUGUGGACCCCUGAAAUUUAUAGUGUUGUUUUCAUUUUUUAUACAACAUCUUGAUUUUUGUCUCGCCUUGACGGAGUCAAAAAGCGAGACAUAGGUAUGCUGUUUCCGGCGUCUGUGGCGGCGGCGGCGUCAACAAUGUAUUAGUUUGUGAUUAGGUCUAGUUCAUGGUGAACCACUAGUGGUAGGUCAAUGAUAUUUGGUAUGCAGUUGUAUUAGCAUUGGCACAUCUCAUUACCAUGGAGAUUAUUUGGCCCCGCCCCCUCAGUCAAGGUCUAUUGACUUUGAAACUUUUCAUAGUUUACAUGUGUUAGUUUGUGAUUAGGUCAAUUUAUGGGGAACCACUAGUGGUAGGUCAAUGAUAUUUGGUAUGCAGUUGUAUAAGCAUUGGCAUAUCUCAUUUCCAUGGAGAUUAUUUGGCUCCGCCCCCUUAGUCAUGGUCUAUAGACUUUGAAAAUUUUGCUACGUUAACAUGUAUUAGUUUUUGAUUAGGUCAGUUCAAGGGGAACCAUUAGUGGUAGGCCAAUGUUAAUUGGUGUUCAGUUGUAUAAGCAUUAGCACAUCUCAUUUCCAUGGAGAUUAUUUGGCCCCGCCCCCUCAGUCAUGGUCUAUUUACUUUGAAACUUUUGCUUAGUUUACAUGUAUUAGUUUGUGAUUAGAUCAGUUUAAGAUGAACUGCUAAUGUUAAGUCAAUGAUAUUUGGUAUGCAAAUUUAUUGGCAUUUGCAAGUAUCAUUUCCAUGGAGAUUAUAUAGCCCCACCCCUGAUCAUGGUUCAUUGACUUCGAAACUUUUACAUAGUUUACAAGUUAAUGUUUGUGUUUAGGUUUGUUUAAAGGGAACGACUUAUAAUAAGUCAAUGGUAUUUAAUAUGCAGUUGUAUUAGCAUUGGCACAUCUCAUUCUAUGGAGAUUGUUUAGCCAUGUACAUGUACCUUCAGUCAUGGUUCAUCGACUUUGAAUAUUUGCAUAACUUACAUGUUAAAGUAUUGCUAUUUUAAUUUCAACAUUUGCAUUAUCAAAAUUAAAAAAGGCGAGACAUAUCUCUGUGAUAACAGUUUAUUUAUGGUAUUUUGAAAAACUUUGUAUGUUAAAAUUGGUGUAAUUUUAAAUAUUCACCUGUAAAUGAAAGCAAAGUAAGAAACUGCUAUUUUAAAAAGAAUUUAUACGGUAAACCAAGAUACAAAGUUCCAGUUGGAGUUCAUUUAACGUAUCACUACAAUAUCCUGAAAACUACAGGUGAAAAAAUGACAACAAUGACCAAUUAUUAAAAUGGAUAACUUCCUUGUUAAGCAAUAUGGAGGUCAAUUGUAGAUAUUUACUUUGUAUAAGCCAUACAAUAUAAGUUUCAGUCACUUUCAUUUAAGGAUUUAAUCCUGCAAGACACUAUUGAUAUAUAUUUUGGUAUACUUUAAGGUUGUAUUUUACAAUAAACAUGAUAAAUAUUGAAA